rnacentral:rRNA from 1 species
CCUACGGGAGGCAGCAGUGAGGAAUAUUGGACAAUGGGCGCAAGCCUGAUCCAGCCAUGCCGCGUGCAGGAUGACGGUCCUAUGGAUUGUAAACUGCUUUUAUACGGGAAGAAACCCUGGCUCGUGAGCCAGAUUGACGGUACCGUAAGAAUAAGGAUCGGCUAACUCCGUGCCAGCAGCCGCGGUAAUACGGAGGAUCCAAGCGUUAUCCGGAAUCAUUGGGUUUAAAGGGUCCGUAGGCGGUUUAAUAAGUCAGUGGUGAAAGCCCAUCGCUCAACGGUGGAACGGCCAUUGAUACUGUUAGACUUGAAUUAUUAGGAAGUAACUAGAAUAUGUAGUGUAGCGGUGAAAUGCUUAGAGAUUACAUGGAAUACCAAUUGCGAAGGCAGGUUACUACUAAUUGAUUGACGCUGAUGGACGAAAGCGUGGGUAGCGAACAGGAUUAGAUACCCUGGUAGUCCACGCCGUAAACGAUGGAUACUAGCUGUUGGGAGUAAUCUCAGUGUGUAGACGAAGUAGAGUAAGUAGUACCACCGUCGGGAGGUACGGUUCGUCGAAGAAGUUAGAAACGUAACGAAAGGAAAGUUAGUUACGGCGUUGAGACGAGCGACGGACGACGACGAGGGAGGAGG